rnacentral:rRNA from 1 species
GACGAACGCUGGCGGCGUGCUUAACACAUGCAAGUCGAACGGAAAGGCCCUGCUUUUGUGGGGUGCUCGAGUGGCGAACGGGUGAGUAACACGUGAGUAACCUGCCCUUGACUUUGGGAUAACUUCAGGAAACUGGGGCUAAUACCGGAUAGGAGAUCCUGCUGCAUGGUGGGGGUUGGAACGUUUCGGCGGUUGGGGAUGGACUCGCGGCUUAUCAGCUUGUUGGUGGGGUAGUGGCUUACCAAGGCUUUGACGGGUAGCCGGCCUGAGAGGGUGACCGGCCACAAUGGGACUGAGAGACGGCCCAGACUCCUACGGAAGGCAGCAGUGGGGAAUAUUGCACAAUGGGCGGAAGCCUGAUGCAGCAACGCAGCGUGCGGGAUGACGGCCUUCGGGUUGUAAACCGCUUUCGCCUGUGACGAAGCGUGAGUGACGGUAAUGGGUAAAGAAGCACCGGCUAACUACGUG